ACUAAUGAACCAAGGAAACUCUAGUGAAAACUACAUUUCUGGUGAGUUUCUCUAGCCUUCUCCCAAGUUAUUUUGAAUCCUGUAAGUCCAUGGCUAUAUAUAGAUGAAUGCCAUCAGGAAAUGAGGCUUGAAACAUCCCUUUUACAGCUGCUAAUUGGUUGUCAUACGUUCAUCCAUAGCUGUAAAUUGUUGAAGGAGAAAACAGGUUGUACCAGCAGCUAUUUUUGACCAGAAUCUGGCUACUUCAACUGCUAUUUUCUCUAUGAUGACGGCUGAAUUAGCUCUUGUACAAAACAUAGAAGUUGUAGUCCAUUGAAAUAGCUGUCCAAUUCCUCAAGAAUCAUCCAAUUUGGAGCUGUUUAGACCGAGAUAUGAUAAAAAUACCACUGACUGGUCAAUUCCGCGUUUUCAACUCUCAGCAGCAGACUUUUACUUCUGUAUUUUGACAUUUUGACCAGGAAAACAGCCGAAUUGGACUUUGAUGUCUUUAUACCAAAUGUAGAUCUGUCUCUUAGCUUCGAAAAUGGUUCAAGAAGCAUCUCAAUCCAAUGUAUGUAGCCCAAGAUAUAGCCAAAAUACCAACAGAUGCCAAAGCUGACUUUUCUUGAUUCAAAUUGCAUUUUUCCUUUUACACUUCAUAUUUUAUUUUCACCACUUUAAUCCAUCUUCAAUCAUCCAAAUAUCUUCUCAAUGCAGUUCAUUUGAUGAUUGAAUCAUUAAACCUACAAAAUAUGAAGUUUUUACCAUAAAAAUCAAUAGAAAUGCAAUUUUCACACUUUAACCACAAAAUGCAUAUUUUUACUAGAAUCUUAGUUAAUUAUUUAUAAAACUAAAUAAAACACACCAAAACUAAUUAAUAAAGCACACUAAAAAUACGUAAAAUAUACUCUUAUCAAAUACCCCCACACUUGAACCAUUGCUUGUCCUCAAGCAAUAAGAAAUACAAACCGACAAUGAUCCAAAAUUUGAAAAUAAGCAUAUGUAGCAUUUCAACUUCAUUUCCUCAAAACAAAGUAAAUAACCAUUAUGCAAUUUAUUCAAUUAAGUUCAAGUACUCAUAAUAUCAAGUAAAGGAGAGCCAAUUAUACCGUCAUUAUAACAAAUUCAAAUCAAUUUUUCAUCCUUACCCAAUCUUACAAGUAAGUAACUCAUAUGGUCAAUAAAAUGCUUUCUAAACUCAUGAUCAUCUUUUUAUUCUACUUAAACAGAUAUUUAUUAAUAUAACGUAGCUAAAUAUUACUUAAGUUGUGAAAGUAUCUUUUUACGCGAUGAUCGACAUUUUUAGAUGAAAAUCACCGGUUACUCAACACUUCACAUACUCAAGUUGCUUUGCAUACUCUUAAUUCAAGUACCGUUUUACGCGAAAGUCGACAUUUUUAGAUGAAGACACCCGGUUACUAAGUACAAGAAUCAUUGGAGUAGAACAAAUCUUAUUCUAUUUUUGUCUUUUUCUUUUGUUUCUUCAUUUUUUUUUUUUUUAGUAAAGAGAAUAAUAAUUUUCUAAAAAAAUAAUCAUGUGAAGAGUAUUGCACUUAUUGACCAUAUUUAUCACUUAACUAUAUAAAAUCAAGUAAAGAAAAGAAAUUUCAUUAAAUAUGCAAAGAAAUAGGCAUAAUUUUCUCCACUUCACAAGAUAUAUUUUCCUACAAAUGCAAAAUUAUAAUCACAUAAUAGUCAUUUCCAAGUUAAAUGAGAAAAGAAGUUUCCAAAUCAUAUAUAUUUAUCUCAAAUGUAGAAGGAAUUUGAACUACUAAUGGUAUGGAACUUUGUUACCCCUUUGGAUGAAAUUUAAAAUUUAAAAUUUUUGGGGCAAAUUUGCAAUUUUGGACAAGAUGUUAGAAAAAUUUUGAAUUUUAACACAAGUCCAAUAUUUGCAACUAAUAAGUCAAUCACAUACAAUAUAUAUAAUCUCAAUUCUCCCCCCACACUUAACAUACACAUUGUCCUCAAUGUGUAAAAAGGAAAAUUAAGAUAAAGAAAGUAAUACUCCCCUAUGAUGUGAUUGAGUAUGAAGCUUCAAGGUACGUUGUUCGCCUUUCUUCAUCGCUUCAUGAGUUCCAUUUGGAUAACCAUUACUAAUAAUAAUCGAAACAUAGAAAAUAAGAAACAAAAGUGAUAACAAAGGCUUAAUAAAACAAAACGGCGAUCCGUAAUUUCAAACCUUUGUUUUGGUGAUGUACCUAUAUAAAAUAUACAAUAAGCAACUCAAGGUACAAGAAAAUAUAUGAGGAAAAGAAGAAAAAGAGAAUCAAGGAAACUGCAUUUUUUUUUUUUUUCCUCAGAAAACGUGACUCAUCAAAACGCGCCACCAAGCCGCGUUUUGUGAAGUCGCGUUUCUUCACAUAUCUUGCAGGAUCGAAAACGCGGCUAUGCUUAAAAACGCGACUUCAUGUCGCGUUUCUGAAGGCGCGUUUUCAAUUUUUGAUCAGGCUGGAAAACGCGAAUUGGUAGAAAACGCGACUUCCUGUCGCGUUUUGAAGGCGCGUUUUCUUCAGUAUAGGCGCAGAAUUGAAAACGCGAUUAUGAAAAACGCGAUUCUAAGGCGCGUUUUCAGCCCAAAUGCGUUUUCUUCUGCGAAAUUUUUGCAGAAAGCCAACUUUGAAAAAUUACCAUUGGUAUCCCAACACUCAAAAUGCAUCAUAGAUCAUUUGUUUGUUAAAAUACUCAAUACAUGCACAUGUAAAAUGAUCAAAACAUGCAUUUUAACCCCUUCUAACGAAUCAAAAACAACAAUUACUCAAAUCGAGGGGUUGAGUUUCUUGAUCAAACUUUGCCUUUUUCACCUCAUUUGGUCACUUUUGCUUCCAUUUCCAAUACCUACAAAUGAAAAAUAACAAAAUAACUCAAACACAUACUUUAAACAUAAAAUCACCCCAAAAUAACAUAAACUUAAACAAACAUUGGGUUGCCUCCCAAUAAGCGCUUCUUUAAAGUCAAUAGCUUGACUAUUUCAUCUCAUUUUUCAAGGAGGCUUAGUUAACGAAUAAUCCACCAUUUUAGGCCGUGGUGGAUCAUUAAAAGGUGGCUUUAUCGUGAAAGCCACAUAAUCUAAUGAUGUGAGAAAUGGAAGUGGCUUACCUAUUCCAAGUGUUUCAUAAAUAUUACCUUGAAAAUACACCACUUGAGAACUUACCAACGGGAAUGCCAUGAGAGUAUCUUGGGCAGCAAUACCCUUAGAACCUAUACUUUCAAUGCACUCCUCAAGAGGGGUGAAAAAUGAGUCAUUAAAACUCACCUCUUGGGGCUCAAAAUUAGUUCCAAAAAUAUUAUCUUGUGAAAUGGAUAUUUGCUCAUUAAAACACAAUUGAAAUUCAUCAUUUUCAUCCAAAUGCAAUCCAUUUUCACAUACAACAUUCCUACCAUUCAUGCUAGGAUCAUUUUGCAAAUUUUUAGAGGAAAUAACUUCACACAAUGCAUUCAAUUUCUCUUGUAUUCUACUAAAGUGAGAAGUCAGUUCAUCUAUUCUCUCUUCAACCCUAUCAAAACGGUUGGAAGUUGCAUUAGCUAAUUUUUCUAAAGCUAACUCCCAAAAAGGCUUAGAAUCAUUAGCUACCAUUUCAAUUGCCAACUCCCAAGAUGAUUUUGAUUCAUAUUGGACACAUUCAGGUUGGUAAUCGUAAAAAUAUGAGGAAUUAUUAUAAGUACAUUGAUUAUCCCAACCAUACACAGGAGAAUUGUUCCAAUUAGCACUAUAUUGAUCAAAACAAGGAUUGUAAUGCUCUAAUUCAUCAUAAUAAUCCACAUUUUGUACUUGUAUACAUGUAUUAGUAGCAUGAUAAUCUCCACACAAGUCACAAAUCACAUGAUAAGAAUUAAAAACAUUUGCAUUCCUCAUUUGUUCAAUUUCCUGCACAAUUUUGUCCAUUUGAACUUGUAGCAUCAUAACAUCAAAUUCAGCCUUUAAGCACCUUAUACCAUCUUCAAAAGACAUACCUUCAGUAAUUUCUUGAUUACCUCUGUUGAAGGAGCUUUGCACUUGGUAACCAUCCAUUGCCAAACUUUCAUUUCUCAAGCUUUGUCCUCCCAAUUCACCUAACCUUCUCAUUACCUAAAAUUGCUUUUAAACAACCUCAAAAGCAAAAUUAGUAAGAAAAAUAGGUAAUGAAACACAUACACAUAAAAUAUAAAAAUAACAGAAAAUAACAUUCACAUUAUAACUAAUAUUAUGUCUAAACUAAUAAAGUUGCUCUUCACACCGAUAUUGCCAAAUCUUCCCCGGCAACGGCGCCAAAAACUUGACGUGCGCGGGGUAUACAUAUAAUAUUAAGCUCAUCCCAAUCAAGUUUUACAUUUAUAAAUUCCUAAAUACCCCACACGCGAUUUAUCGCAAGUAUACGAAUCGUGAGCGAGUAUAGGGUAUUAAGGGUCGAUCCCACAGGGAAGAAUGCAAUUACCGAUGUUUUCAAACUCCUUUAUUAUUUAGACUACCACAAAUAUAAAAUUUAAGAAAAUAACACUAGAAAGCUCCUAGAGAUAUGGAAUUCCUUACUACUCUUGCAAAUGAGAUUAUCGGUUAAGUGAAUGCUAUUAUCUUGAUUAGUUAUGGCGUAAUUUCCUAAUGUAUGUGAAACCUACUUUCGUAGUGAAUCAACUAUACUUGUAAUUAAGUCAUACCUACUCUCGUGGUUAUGAAAUUAACUACAAGUUCAUUUCUUCUAUGAAAUUACAUGAAACAAGUCACUUAAGCCGCAUAGGUGCACCUCUACUUUCGUGAGUGUACUCCCUAGGCUUAUCACUUCUUUGAACUAGUGUUAAAUUCCAAUUUUCAUUGCAAACUUAACACCUUAAGAUUAUCAUAAUUAAUGGCCAGUUAAUCAUGAUUAGAUAACCAAAAGUGAUAAAUAGCUUGCUCAAAAUAAUAUGACCAAAUAACCAAAUAAACAUCAUUAACAAAAUAUAGCAAGUUCAACCAUAACUCUAGGCAUAAACUUUAACUAAAUAUAAUAAAAACACAAAGCCAACUUGUAUUAUAAUUAAACAUGAAAUCCAAUAAAAGAGAGAAAGUAGUAGAAGAGAUAUCACCCUUGUCACAUGAGAUCGACCUCUUCAUCUUUGCUCCUCCAAUCUUCAUCCAAAUCUAACUACAAAUACAAGAUAGAUAAACUACUCUACCUAUACUAUACUAAUGAACCAAGGAAACUCUAGUGAAAACUACAUGUCUGGUGAGUUUCUCUAGCCUUCUCCCCAGUUAUCUUGAAUCCUGCAAGUCCAUGGCUAUAUAUAGAUGAAUGCAAUCAGGAAAUGAGGCUUGAAACAUCCCUUUUACAGCUGCUAAUUGAUUGUCAUACGUUCAACCAUAGCUGUAAAUUGUUGAAGGAGAAAACAGGUUGUACCAGCAGCUAUUUCUGACCAGAAUCUGGCUACUUCAACUGCUAUUUUCUCUAUGAUGACGGCUAAAUUAGCUCUUGUGAAAAACAUAGAAGUUGUAGCCCAUUGAAAUAGCUGUCCAAUGCCUCAAGAAUCAUCCAAUUUAGAGCUGUCUAGACCGAGAUAUGAUAAAAAUACCACUGACUGGUCAAUUCCGCGUUUUCAGCUCUCAGCAGCAGACUUUUACUUCUGUAUUUUGACAUUUUGACCAUGAAAACAGCCGAAUUGGACUUUGAUGUCUUCAUACCAAAUGCAGAUAUAUCUCUUAGCUUCAAAAUGGUACCAAGAUCACCUUGAUCCGAUCAUUGUAGCUCCUGAUAUAGUCAAAAUACGAAAAUGUGUCUGAGUUGUCAAAGCUGACUUUUCUUGAUUUUUGUCCUCAAAUUGCAUUUCUUCCUUUUACACUUCAUAUUUUAUUUUCCCCACUUUAAUCCAUCUUCAAUCAUCCAAAUAUCUUCUCAAUGCACUUCAUUUGAUGAUUGAAUCAUUAAACCUACAAAAUAUGAAGUUUUUACCAUAAAAAUCAAUAGAAAUGCAAUUUUCACACUUUA
rnacentral:lncRNA from 1 species